GAUGAACGCUGGCGGCGUGCCUAACACAUGCAAGUCGGACGAAGCACCUUACCUGAUUCUUCGGAUGAAAGUUUGGUGACUGAGUGGCGGACGGGUGAGUAACGCGUGGGUAACCUGCCCUGUACAGGGGGAUAACAGCUGGAAACGGCUGCUAAUACCGCAUAAGCGCACGAGGAGACAUCUCCUUGUGUGAAAAACUCCGGUGGUACAGGAUGGGCCCGCGUCUGAUUAGCUGGUUGGCAGGGUAACGGCCUACCAAGGCAACGAUCAGUAGCCGGUCUGAGAGGAUGAACGGCCACAUUGGAACUGAGACACGGUCCAAACUCCUACGGGAGGCAGCAGUGGGGAAUAUUGCACAAUGGGGGAAACCCUGAUGCAGCAACGCCGCGUGAGUGAAGAAGUAUUUCGGUAUGUAAAGCUCUAUCAGCAGGGAAGAUAAUGACGGUACCUGACGAAGAAGCUCCGGCUAAAUACGUG
rnacentral:rRNA from 1 species